rnacentral:rRNA from 1 species
GCAUAUCAAUAAGCGGAGGAAAAGAAACCAACAGGGAUUGCCCCAGUAACGGCGAGUGAAGCGGCAAGAGCUCAAAUUUGAAAGCUGGCCCCCUCGGGGUCCGCAUUGUAAUUUGCAGAGGAUGCUUCGGGAGUGGCCCCCAUCUAAGUGCUCUGGAACGGGCCGUCAUAGAGGGUGAGAAUCCCGUAUGGGAUGGGGUGUCCGCGACCAUGUGAAGCUCCUUCAACGAGUCGAGUUGUUUGGGAAUGCAGCUCUAAAUGGGUGGUAAAUUUCAUCUAAAGCUAAAUAUUGGCCGGAGACCGAUAGCGCACAAGUAGAGUGAUCGAAAGAUGAAAAGCACUUUGAAAAGAGAGUUAAAAAGCACGUGAAAUUGUUGAAAGGGAAGCGCUUGCGACCAGACUCGCCUGCGGGGUUCAGCCGGUAUUCGUACCGGUGUACUUCCCCGUGGGCGGGCCAGCGUCGGUUUGGGCGGCCGGUCAAAGGCCCUCGGAAUGUAACGCCUCUCGGGGCGUCUUAUAGCCGAGGGUGCCAUGCGGCCAGCCCGGACCGAGGAACGCGCUUCGGCACGGACGCUGGCAUAAUGGUCGUAAGCGACCCGUCUUGAAACACGGACCAAGGAGUCUAACAUCUACGCGAGUGUUCGGGUGUCAAACCCGUGCGCGCAGUGAAAGCGAACGGAGGUGGGAACCCUCACGGGUGCACCAUCGACCGAUCCUGAUGUCUUCGGAUGGAUUUGAGUAAGAGCGUAGCUGUUGGGACCCGAAAGAUGGUGAACUAUGCCUGAAUAGGGCGAAGCCAGAGGAAACUCUGGUGGAGGCUCGCAGCGGUUCUGACGUGCAAAUCGAUCGUCAAAUUUGGGUAUAGGGGCGAAAGACUAAUCGAACCAUCUAGUAGCUGGUUCCUGCCGAU